GAUGAACGCUGGCGGCGUGCCUAACACAUGCAAGUCGAACGGAGUUUUUAAAUUGAAGUUUUCGGAUGGAUUUUUAGGAACUUAGUGGCGGACGGGUGAGUAACGCGUGAGCAAUCUGCCUUUCAGAGGGGGAUAACGACUGGAAACGGUCGCUAAUACCGCAUGAAGUAUUGGGAUGGCAUCGUUCUGAUACCAAAGGAGCAAUCCGCUGAAAGAUGAGCUCGCGUCCAAUUAGCUAGUUGGUGAGGUAAAGGCCCACCAAGGCGACGAUUGGUAGCCGGACUGAGAGGUUGAACGGCCACAUUGGGACUGAGACACGGCCCAGACUCCUACGGGAGGCAGCAGUGGGGAAUAUUGCGCAAUGGGGGAAACCCUGACGCAGCAACGCCGCGUGAAGGAUGAAGGUUUUCGGAUUGUAAACUUCUUUGACGAGGGACGAUAAUGACGGUACCUCGAAAACAAGCUCCGGCUAACUACGUG
rnacentral:rRNA from 1 species